CCGACCGGCUGCUGGAUGCUGAAACUCCAGUUCAUCUAGCUGGUCCCACGACUCCGCCGGCCCCACAACCUAAGACUCAGCUGCUUCAGCCGUCUGUGCGGAGCUUGUUGCAGAAACCCGACCGGCUGCUAGAUGCUGAAACCCCAGUUCACCCAGCUGGUCCAACGCC